UACGAAGGGGGCUAGCGUUGCUCGGAAUCACUGGGCGUAAGGGUGCGUAGGCGGGUCUUUAAGUCAGGGGUGAAAUCCUGGAGCUCAACUCCAGAACUGCCUUGAUACUGAGGUAUCUUGAGUUCGGGAGAGGUGAGUGGUGAACUGCGAGUGUAGAGGUGAAAUUCGUAGAUAUUCGCAAGAACACCAGUGGCGAAGGCGGACUCACUGGCCCGAUACUGACGCUGAGGCACGAAAGCGUGGGAGCAACAGGGAUUAGAUACCUUGAG
rnacentral:rRNA from 1 species